GCGUUCGUAGUGUAGUGGCUAUCAUCCUACCCUCCCAACGAGGGAGAUUCUGGAGACCGGUAGGGACCCGGGUUCGAUUCCCGGCGGACGCA